rnacentral:lncRNA from 1 species
UAGGAUAGUUAGCUCUUCUUGUUGAACUGAACCUUGUACCACUGCGUAAUGCCCUUCCUUGUCUUUUUUUGGUCUUUGAUGGUUUGAAAUCUGUUUUGUCCGAAAUUAAGACUGCUACCCCUGCUUUUUUCUGUUUUCCAUUUGCUUGGUAGAUUUGUCUCCAUCCCUUUAUUUUGAGCCUAUGGAUGUCAUUACAUGGGAGAUCGGUCUCUUAAAGACAGCAUGCCAUUGGGUCUUCCUUUUUUAUCCAGCUUGUACUCUGUGUGCCUUUCAAGUGGGGAAUUUAGUCCAUUUACACUCAAGGUAUCCUGUGCAAAGUUUCCUCCAGACGUUGUUUGUUUCUAAUUCUGGCAACAGCACCCUUCAAAGAUUCUGACUCAGAGGAAGUGUCUCAGGAUCACUGCAUCACCUUACUACACCUCCUAUGAUUAUAUGACUAUGGGCUUCCAGACUCAGGCCAGACCUCCAGCUUGUCUGCUGUGACUCUUUGUAGCUUUGUAUUUGGCUGUCUACCUCCCAGCUUCUCAGCCUUGUCUCCAGGUCCAGGGGGCCGAUGCUCCAACAAUAAUGAAGCUCUAAUUCCUGGUUCCCUGAGCCUGCUCGGGUUUUUGUUUCUUUCGCUUUUUGUUUUUGUUUGUUUGGGGGAAGGUGAGCUUGGAGAUUUCUCCUACCAUUAGUUGAGGACAGAAAUGGAAUAAAAAGUAUAUGUUGGGGAGACAUGACCAGUCUGGUGAAGUGUUGAUAUAAGCAUACUUGCCAGGCACUGUUUCUUGUAUUGGAGAUGGAAAGGAAGAAAAACUAGUCUCCUGUUUGCAUGGAGCUUUGAAUCAUAUUCUAAUGAAUAAAUGAAUUAGUAUAUGAAUAAUCAAUAUAUUGCUUUCUUGUCCCUUCCGAAUGACUGAUUUAUCAAAUAUGGCAAUGAUUUAUUUCAUUGCUCACACAUAGAAUAGCACAUGAAUAUGUCUACUUCCUGACCUCCCCCAUUUACCAAAGAGUACUUUGAGACCCAAUAACUUGAAAUAAUAUGUUCAAGCAUACACAAUUAUUGAAGAAACUUUAACAUUGGAUGACAGGUUAAUAUUACCAAGAUCAUAGAACAAAGCCAAUUCAUUAGGAUUCAUGUAAUGAAUUGGAGGAUACAUCUACUGGUUAGCUGGAACUGGAAGCUGAAGGGAGGCAAGGUUCCUACUCUUUCACUGGGUACAUGCUGGUGAAGUGAACUGUAUUCACUGUAAGCAGGCUAGUAGGAAACCAAAUCCAACAGAGUGGUUUAGAAUGUCUAAAAUCUAAAAGGGCUACACCAAAUCAUUUAGAAACUAAAUGAUUUCUUUUACAUCAGAGAAACAUAAGAAAUUCACAAUAUGAAUCCAGUUUGACACUUAUUUGUCAUGGGCCACACUGGGGUUUAAAUCAAAUAUUUCUCACCUGUACAAUGGCAUAAAGAUGUCUCAACCACUCUCAAUUAUUUUUUUCUCAAUUGUAUAAAUUCAGAUUUCUAGGUUCUGUUUUUCACCUCCCUCAAAUUAUGAACAGAAUGUAAAGAACUGUGCAGAAUAACUAUUGAAAGCCCUUAUGGGGAAACUUGUCCACAUGAGAAGAGAAACUUUCUGAAGGUUUUCUGCAUGUGUAAUAAAUUGACUGAAAUUUUUGCUCACAUAAAGAAAAGAGUCACUUUACAGAGACAAAUGACAUUAAAGCUAAAACUUAAGCAAAUUCUGCAUUUUAACUCAUGACAUUUUUGUGUAUGUCUUUUACGUGAUUAGAAAAUAAAUGUAAGAGAACAGUUUGAAGUUUAAGAAGUUUGUACUUAGAUACAUCAUUAUUCUUUAUUAAAAAAUGAGAUUUACAGCUUUAUGAGAACUUGAGUUUUUGUAUCUGUAAGGUGUCUUCUGUCUAUUUUCACAUGAAUUUCCAUAAUGCACAAUGAAAAAUUUUAUUACACUUAUUUCAUAUAAACAUCAUGGGAAAUGACUAUCUUAAUAUGAAGUCUGAUAUUGGGUAUAGAAGUUAAGCCUUUUACUUCUGAAUAUUGUAUGCAGUAUUACUUUGCAUUUUGAAAGUCAAAUUAUUCUGUACAAAUGGUAAAAUUUACCUUUAUAAAGAAAAUGUUUAUAUUUGCUGGCUUGUGUUUUUUCAGCUCUUAGGAAUUAUUGAUCUUAUGAUACAUUUCAGUAUUUUACAUCUAAUACAUUCUCAAUGUGUGACACAGAUGUUUGCUGAGGUCACCUGCUCCGUGAUAUAUAUGUAUGUAUGUGUGUGUGUGUGUAUAAUAUUUUUACUAACCCAUUUGUCUACAAAUUUUUUUCUCACAGUGGCAUACCCAUGGUUAGAAGGUGCAUAUGGUCCACUCCCAGUGCAGGCAUUGUCAUUACAUCACUUAAAAACAAUAAUAAAACUAACUCAAAAUUGAUAUUUUUAAUUAUCACCAUUUGUUAGCAAUUCUAAAUAAUGCUAAUGAUAAAAUUAUCCUUCCUGAAAAAUAUAAUCUUUUGUAGAUAUAAAUAGUAAAUAAUUAAUACAGUUACUGCUGAAUUUUAAUUAAUUAUACGUGUGCAUGUGUAUUUCAAAUCACAUUUUAUUACUUAUCCUCUAAGUAAUCUGCUACCUCCUCAUUUACUUAGCUCCCUCUGCUCCCUGUUAACAAAAUCAAUUUUUGCAUUAUAUUCUUUUCUACAAAAACACAAAUUAAAACAAGUUUCAUGCAAAGCAUUUGUGUCUGUGGUCUUCGCUACAGAAUUGGUUUCUGAUGAUGGUGGUGGUAAGUGAUAUUUACAUGGCUGAUCCACUCAACCCCUUUUCUGUCUCAUGAUCCUGAGAUUCUGUCUGCGAUCUCACAUUCAUAAGCCUUUAUAAAAAUUUGAAGCUUCUUGAAAACUCAAUUCAAUUUGCUCUGACAUACAAAGAAGUUUAGUUCUUUACUCUUUCUGAUUCUACCUGUCAUUAAAAAACGGCUCACCAAUGUACUCUGCUUAACUACAGAUAGAUUAUGCACUUCAGCUUCAACCAUUUAGCAGCACAGAAGAAAUGGAAGAAGCUUUAGCAUUUGUGAAAUAGAGAGCUAUUUCCAUCUUAUAUGAGCUGUACUAUUUAUCUGAGAUGGUGCAAAUGACUACUGCCAAUUUUGGUUAUAAAUAAUAUUUCAACUUCACUAUAGAGCAGUUUUAAAAAGAUUUCAUAUUCAUAAGAGUGGGUUUCAGGACACUCUGGCUUUGGAAUAAAG